rnacentral:tRNA from 1 species
CUCUUUACACUGUCAAAUAGCCUUAUCGCGGGGUGGAGCAGCCCGGUAGCUCGUCAGGCUCAUAACCUGAAGGUCGU